CAGUCGCCGCGGUAAUACGAAGGGGGCUAGCGUCGUUCGGAUUUACUGGGCGUAAAGCGCACGUAGGCGGAUCGAUCAGUCAGGGGUGAAAUCCUGGAGCUCAACUCCAGAACUGCCUUUGAUACUGUCGAUCUCGAGUCCGGAAGAGGUGAGUGGAACUCCUAGUGUAGAGGUGGAAUUCGUAGAUAUUAGGAAGAACACCAGUGGCGAAGGCGGCUCACUGGUCUGUAACUGACGCUGAGGCUCGAAAGCAUGGGUAGCAAACAGGAUUAGAUACCCGAGUAGUCCCUGUCUCUUAUAU
rnacentral:rRNA from 1 species